AAGUAUAUUAAGCCUUAAAGUUCUGGAUUAUUAGGGACGUGGCCGCUUUGAUUGACAGGUGUCUCUAGCCGCCGUCACUGCUAGCAAUCGGUCCGCCGUCUGUUAGCCUCACGCAGCUACAUGGAGCUCUGAGGCUCAGCCUGUCGGAGCCUUUUGGACAUUUCUACAUGCAAAUACCAGAUGAAUAAGGACAGGCUGUGCGGUUUAUUGGAGAGAGAACCUCCAGGAAGUCUGUGUUCUAGUUGUGAAAUAAGGCAGCCCAUUGGACAGCGGUACGGAGAGGUCGGCUCGGCCUCGCUUCUCAUUCCACCUCUGGAGUGGAUUACUUAAUGGAAAUGACCGCAGGGCUUGCAGGUCCACCCUGAUCAGCUCACAGCCCCGGCUGUCUCAAACCCUCUCUCAUUCUGAAGGUGCUGAACUAUCACCAAGUCCCAAAGACCCUCAAACACAGCUUGCCAGCCUCUGGUUGUAUCAAUAUUAGAAUCAUUCUUCUCCACUGCAGUGCACAAUGUUCACAGUGGAGAGACAGCAUUUCUAUGGGGAGAGAUUAAACCUUAAGUUUUGUUUUACAUCUUACUCCAGAGAUUUAUUAUUGAAUGUCUAUAAAGAUGGGUGGCUGCAAUGCAACAUUGUGACUUUUAGUCACAUGUGGAGCUCCACCAAAGAGUGGAGCUCCACAUGUCUUUUAGUAGGCUCUCCCUGCUUAACAAACGGCCACAUUUUUCAAACUACAAGCCAACAGUUUGUAAUGUGGUCUUUACAUUCAAAAUCUGAAGUCCCCAAGCCCAAGCCAAGAUAACCUUGAUGACAUCACAAGGCUAAUGUCCCUGGAGUUUCCCAUCAGUUUUCACAGGGUUGAGACAGAUCUUAGGGACACCUGAAUCUCCAAAUGAACUGCCGGCAGGCUAGUUGCUUUGUAGGUAAUGUACAGUAGGUGCCAAGAUUUGACAAGGAAGAACAACGCAUAAAAAUAAAAUUAGUUUGCUUGUGUCCAUUAAGACUCUUCAGCUGAUUCAGAAUGCUGCAGCACGUGUUCUGACAGGAACCAGGAAAAGAGAUCACAUUUCUCCUGUUUUAGCUUCUUUGCAUUGGCUUCCAGUAGUUUCAGGUUUCAGUUUCAGGUGAAUCCUGAACCAUCCCUUAGUUAUGCUGCUAUAGGCUUAGACUGCCGGGGGAUUUCCUGUGAUGCACUGAGCUCCU